GGGUUGUGAGGUUAAGCGACUAAGCGUACACGGUGGAUGCCCUGGCAGUCAGAGGCGAUGAAGGACGUGCUAAUCUGCGAAAAGCGUCGGUAAGGUGAUAUGAACCGUUACAGCCGGCGAUGUCCGAAUGGGGAAACCCAGUGCAAUUCGUUGCACUAUCGUUAACUGAAUACAUAGGUUAACGAGGCGAACCGGGGGAACUGAAAC
rnacentral:rRNA from 1 species